AUGCAGGGGAACGAGGGAGCCCCGCCGCCGCCGGCUCCGUGGUCACUGAUGGCUGGAAUGGUGAGCCUAUGGAACGAUUGGGAGGUCCAAGUCCUAGUGCUUUUCAGCUUUGUGUUGCAAGUGUUCUUGCUCAUGUUCGCCAGAAUGCGACGGCGGAACAUCUCCAUCGUCCCAAGGACCCUCAUCUGGCUAGCAUACCUGCUGGCUGACUCCAUUGCGAUAUAUAUCCUCGGCCACAUGUCCUUCUGUAGUAAGCCCCAUGAAUACCAACAGCUCGCGGCGUUCUGGACGCCGUUCCUGUUGAUGCAUCUUGGUGGCCAGGACACUGUCACCGCCUAUGCCAUGGAAGACAACUAUCUGUGGCCACGCCACCUACUCUCUCUGAUUGUGCAAGCCCUUGGAGUAGCUUAUGUCUUGUACAAGUAUACUACAGGCAGCCGGACCUUGGUCACAGGCGCGGUGUUGAUAUUUGUCGCUGGUAUUCUCAAGUAUGCGGAGAGAGUAUGGGCGCUCAAGUCAGCCAACCUGGAGAACAUCAGUAACCUCCUCGAAAGCAGGAAGUUCAGAGAGGCUCGACAACAGGAUCAGAUAGGGCCUUACCGUCCGCGUGAACGGUGGGGCCAAGCAGAGCAGUUGGGUUCUGAAGAGAUUCUACAGGGAGCUCAUGACCUGCUCCCCAUUUGCAUGGGUCAGUUCAUGGAUUAUAAGUUUUGGCCGUCCCCAUUCCAGAGUAAAGCCAUAAGAUUUUUUGGUGAUAAGGGCUACACGUAUGAGUUGAUUGAGAUGCAGCUGUCCCUGAUGCAUGACGUCCUUUACACCAAGGCAGUCGUGAUCAACACAUGGUGGGGAUGCUUCAUCCGUGCCAUUUCAUUAGUUGCCAUCAUCGCCACAUUCUUCCUGUUUCGAUCCAGCACUAGCAAAAAUGUUUUCAUAAGAGUUGAUGUCGUCGUCACGUAUAUCUUACUAGGUGGGGCUUUCCUCCUAGAGAUGACAGCAGUGUUGAGGGCGAUUGGCUCAACAUGGAUGUGUGCAUUGUUGCGUGCUGGAAGGUGGGAUUGGCUCCACCACAUAACCAUAUCUGCUCGGCGGUAUGUCAAGGCAGGGAAAAGAAGUAGAAGAUGGUCAGGUUCCAUUGGACAACAUAAGUUUCUGCAGCUGCAGCUUAAUGGGCCCAGUGUUCAUGUUACCAUUGGACCCAAGCAAGGUAAUUCGUUUGUAUGUUGGGACUUGUGGAAGAAGAUACAUCCCUCCUUAACGGUGAUUUCAGAUGGUACUAAGGAGUUAGUGCUGAAAGAGAUACUCAGAAUGGUGAAGGCGUGUGCGGGCAAAGAGGAAAUCAUGACGAGUUAUAGUGGGCCCCUUGUGGAGGCAAUCAGGGAGCUGUCUAACUACAUGAUAUUCCUCCUUGUUGAACGGCCCUACAUGCUGCCUAGCCCUGUCCGCCCCGGAUUGUAUGCCAAUACUGAAGUACAAAAUGUGGGAUGGAGCUCUGUUCCCAUAUUGUAUGCCAAUACUGAAAUAGGAAGUGUGGAAUGGGGUAGGCGAGGCGCAAAGAAUCUCAUUGAACGCAUCAAAAGCAGGCAGCUUGGUUCUACAGCUCCACCUGCCUUGGCCCGUGGAGCAGAGCUUGCCAGAUUGCUGCUAGACAUGGAGGAGCGGGGCGUGCCAGGGGUGCUACAGGUGAUACUUGGAGUGUGGGUAGAGAUGAUGUGCUAUGCGGCCCACCACUGCAGCAGGGAUUCCCACGCCAGGCAGCUCAACAGCGGCGGUGAGUUCAUUACCGUCAUCUGGCUUCUAUCAACUGCCAUGUUCAAUCGCACCUACUGUGGCGAACCAUCGUUUAAGGAGGACGUGAAUAAAUUCUUCCGUCCACUAUUCGCAGACAAGCCUACAUGCUUACAGCGCUUUGUGGACCAAUCUGAGAUGUUCAAUUUGUAG
rnacentral:rRNA from 1 species